GAUGAAGAACGCAGCGAAACGCGAUAAGUAAUGUGAAUUGCAGAAUCCAGUGAAUCAUCGAAUCUUUGAACGCACAUUGCGCCCGCCAGCAUUCUGGCGGGCAUGCCUGUUCGAGCGUCAUUUCAACCCUCGACCUCCCCUUGGGGUGGUCGGCGUUGGGGACCGGCAGCACACCGCCGGCCCUGAAAUGGAGUGGCGGCCCGUCCGCGGCGACCUCUGCGCAGUAAUACAGCUCGCACCGGGACCCCGACGCGGCCACGCCGUAAAACACCCAACUUCUGAACGUUGACCUCGAAUCAGGUAGGACUACCCGCUGAACUUAAGCAUAUCAAUAAGCGGAGGA
rnacentral:misc_RNA from 1 species